CCGCAGGGCUUCCUUCAUGUGCCGGGAGCAAGGGCUUUAUUCUAAUUUCCUCUUGGGCUUCCCAGUGACUAGCUCAGCCCUGCACAUAUGAGAGCGUCUCCAGGCAAACCUUUCCAUCAACGUGCCAGAUGAUCAAAGGAAAUCGCCAACUGGGAGAAAUAAGAGGAAGUAGGCAGAGACUUGGAAGUCAUGACAUCACUCACCUUGGAAGCUGAAUACAUGGAGUAGAGAGGCCAAGGAAACAGGGCUACCCCGGAAGAAAUGUUCAGGAUGAGACCUUUCCGCCUGAAAGGCAAAGAAGCAAAGUUCCCAUGGUUUUGUUGCCCACCCGACCUUGGGUACAAAGAAAACAAAGGCGCCAGUGUGAACACUGCCGGACUCUGCCCUUUCUAGGCUUCCGCAGGUGCUGGGGGCUCUGCUUCUAGGAACGGUGAAUGAACUUCCCCCGCCUUCCCCCGGAGGGCGCCACGCAGCGAUGUCUGAAUUUCCGGCGCACAGAGAUGCCACCGGGCAGUUAUGUGACGUCACACAAUGUGAGGGGCUUGCUCCUGGAGACAGAGGCCCUGCUACAGCUGCGGUCUCUCCACCAAAAUACUGAUAACCAGCUCAGCUCAGGAUUUAAGGGGAGGGAAUCCUUCUCCCCUAAAUGUGACCACAUGAGCUGCCGGUCCCUUUGGCCUCACGGACCCACAGCAGGACGGAUGUCACAUGCUGGAAUGUUGUCUUGGGUAGACUUUCACAGUCCAGGACCUGCUCACACAGAUACCCUAUGCCAGUCUCCAGGAGCCUCACUUGUCCUUUUGAAAUUCAGUAUCCUUAAUCCCUCCCAAUCAGACGGAUUCGAUAGAGGAGUAGGGGACAAGAAACUGCAAAUUAGAAUCCAAGGCCAAGCCCCUUCUCCCUCUAGGGAAGAUAAGCUAUCAAGCAUUUGCUUUUAACGACACCACCUGAGAAAAACCACCUCCCAAACGCGCAUUGGAAGAGGUGACGUAAAUAUGCAAUCAGUGGAGGAGCUGACAGAGCGGCCAUUUUCACAUUAAACCGGAGUAUUCUUUCUGACAGAAGCUGAAAUUCCUAACAAAGAGAUGGUCGUGAUCUCAGGACAACUUCUGAAGUUUUCUUUUACACUCAACAUUCGUUAAUUUUUCUUUAAUCCAGUGCGUGUUGAAACUGCCCUUGUCUUCCUCCCUCCGAUAGUGUUACAUUUGACCUUCAGUGAGAUUGUCUAUUUGCAGAGCUGGCCUGGCCCGGAACGUUAUGUUUUUUUCCCAUAAUCACCGUGUGCUUUCAUCGUAGCUGUUACCGUUUGUGAAAGCACAGCCAGGUGGACUCUGUGUCCCAGUCCCCGAGUUAGCUGACCGCCGGGGCAGGGAGGCCACGUGCUCCACACUUUUUUGAAGAAGGCCUUACCUUGAUUCCAUAUGUUUCAGAAUUAGCUGUGUCAUCUACAAGAGAAGGCCACAGGUACACGUUCUACAAACGAAGGAAGAGGCGACCCCGUGGACUGAAAUGUUCUCUGAGAGGAGAAAAUGAAGGCUCAGAGAAGCUAACUGACAUACCCAAGACCGUCCACUCUCUGGUCACUCCAAGUUCAACGCGCUCCCCACUACUCUGUGUUCACUUGCCUUCUGUAAGAGUUUUCUGGCAGACGUGAAAGCAACAAGCAGAGUUUACCAGUGGCUUGUGCUUGUAAGUUUCCUGAGGCCUCCAAAGCUGAGCAAAUGCAAGCGUCAUCCUUCCUGUACAGCGUGUGGAACCGUGAGCCAAUUAAACCUCUUUUCUUCAUAAA